CAACCCGCCCGGGUAGACACCGCGCCACCCGCUCCGGGACGCCGCCCAGCGACAAGGCCGCGGGGUCAGCGUGUCUGUACCGGUGCUGCAACGGGAGGGUCGGGCGGCGACGCUCUCACUGCCGGGCCAGAAGGAGGCCUCCCGGCUCCCUCACGCUAGAAGGGAGCUGGUUACCAGAGGUUUUCAGAGACGCCAAAGUUUUGCCAGCACCCCGCCUCUCUCUCAUUUCUGGUCUAGGAAUCAGGAGUGUAGGUUCCUGUCUGGCUUCAGCACUGACUCUGGGAGACCUUGACCCAGUUCCAUUCCCUGGCAGGGUCUUCUUUCCUGUGAAAUGGAGCCAAUCGCUCCGCUGGCUGGACAAGUGCAGAGGAGGCCUCUUCCUGUAGCCAAGGAACUUGCCCCGGGCCUUCGGGGCCUUGGGCCCUCUUGGGCUCCAUAUCAGCUGACUGGGCCUGGCUGCCAGGAAGGGUGCUGGCUGCAGCCCCACCAGGAGCAGUAGCAGAGUGGACACACAGCCCAUAGUGGCUGAGCCGCCUCUGCAGUCCUGCUGGGGCCUUUGCUUGGGAGACACAAAGGCCCCUUGUCUAGCCUCCUGCGCCUAUUGUCUAAGCUGGGCCACGCACCUUCCAGGGACCUAAGUAUCCUCAUAGCCCGAGUUAUAGGGCCUAGGCCUUCAGGUUCCAGUGUGGGGAAGACCCUUUGGGCACUGGAACUCCAGCCAACCCUCUCUUUCUCUCCCCUCUUCCAAAACUUCAAACCUUAUACUGUCACUGCCAUUUAGCCCAGGAGAAACAAGUUUCUUUGACGCCAAGUUGAGGACCCAGGCUCGACCUUAGCCUUCAGCGGGCAAAUCUGGUUGGUGGCCUGCCCAGGGCUCUGCCCCUGCUCUGGCCCAAUUCCCUUACUUUACAGCUGAGGAAACUGCAUUCCUGAGACAUACAGCGUUUCAGCUACCACACAGGUGACUUAGUGAGGCUUGAGGAGCAGAGGAAGGGGCCUAGUCCUUGAACCCCAUAGCCUUGGGUUUAGAUUCCAGUCUUACCUCACCUGUCCUAUGACUCCUCUCUGAGCCUGAGUUUCCUCUUUUGCAAAAGGGAGUAAUACUAAUCUCUCACUUGCUGGCCUGUCUUAAAUUUUUUGAGAAAGGGCCUCACUCUGUCACCCAGGCCGUAGUGCAGUGGCAUGAUCACAGCACACUACAGUCUCUAUGUCCCAGGGCCAAGGGAUCCUCCCAUCUCAGCCUCCCAAGUAGCUGGGAAUACAGGCACAUGCCACCAUGCCGGGCUAAUUUGUAAAUUUUUUGUAGAGAUGGGAUCUCCCUGUGUUGACCAGGCUGGUCUCAAACUGCUGAGUCCAAGCAGUCCUCCUGCCUCGGCCUCCCAAAGUGCUGGGAUUCCAGGCAUGAGCCCCUGCACCCUAUCCUUAAAUUCUUUUUUCAUGGUUUUAUUCAUCAUCCCAAGCUGUCUGGGCUCAAGGCGUUAGUAUCCCAUGCAAUGAGGGCCUAGAAGUUUCGUCUCCUGACAUCCUCCCCAGGCAGUCCCAUCGCUGGGUUUCAGAGGCCAUCAAGCCCAGCAGGCUUCAAAUCCCCCAACAGAGUCCCCCUUACCUGGGGCUGCCUGGGGAACUCCCAUCCCACUUCAACUUGAGCACCUUUGCCUUUGUAUUUUUAUUUAUUUACAUUUCCUGGUAAGAAUUUGUUGCAAGCACAUGAAAGAUUUUGUGGCUGAAGUAAUGUAAAACCAUUGAUCAAACCGGAAAUUGAGACACAGCCAGCGUCACACAACAGGCCAUCUGAAAGGCUGGAAUAGCAUCGAGGGAGUCUCCCUGGAACCAAGCAGCCAAGGCAGGCUAAUGGUGAAGGCCCAGGCACAGUAAUGGUCCCCUGGAGAUGGAGUCCUGCUCUGUCAUCCAUGCUGGAGUGCAGUGGCGUGAUCUCAGCUCACUGCAACCUCCGCCUCCUGGGUUCAAGUGAUUCUCCUGCCUCAGCCUCCCAAGUAGCUGGGAUUACAAGUGUGCACCAUCACACCCUGCUGAUUUUUGUAUUUUUAGUAGAGACAGGGUUUCACCAUGUUGGCCAGGCUGUUCUUGAACUCCUGGCCUAAAGCGAUCCACCCGCCUUGGCCUCCCAAAGUCCUGGGAUUACAGGCGUGAGCCACCGUACCUGACCCCUGUCCCUGAACAUUUGUCACAAUAUAUUAUGAGUGAAUGAGUAAGAACUCUAUUUUAGUGGUCACCUUCUUUGUGCUAGUCAUUAAGUUUAAGGUAUCUCGCUUAAUAUUCUCCAGAACCCUGUGAGAUAGGCAUUAUUUUAUUCUCAUGUGACAUGUAGAGAAACAGGUUCAGAAAGGGGAAGCGAAAGUCCAAAGCAGUGAAUCUGCGGUGGGUCUCCUGGCCCCAGAAUUGCAGCCUGAUGGGAAGGAAGGCCCUGCUGAGUUCCCAGAGUUAUGGCUGGGUCAUGGCAUUGGGACCCACACUGGCAGCUCCAGUUACACAGGGCUGGGCUGGCUCUAGCAGCCUUGUCUUACUUGCUCCCUGAACUGCUGCAUUGACCUGCACCAUCCUCCCUUCCCUUGCCAGCCGAGAACUGUGCUCCUCAGGUUUCCUGGGCAGGGUCCAGGGCUCUGAUGCCAAACGCAGCCUGGAAACUCUAGCUCUCAGCAUGCCAGGAUGCGGGCACCCAAGUGAGGCCGCCUGGGAUGCAGGAAGCUUAGUCCAGGCCUGGGCAUGCCUCUGUUCCAUCUCCCCUCAAGCAGGACCAGCUACUUAAUCUGCGGGACCCAGAGCAGAAUGAAAAUGUGGGCCCCUCAUUCAAAAAUUUAAAAUUUCCAACAAAAGAAUGAAAAAAUAAGAAAAAAUUAAGAAUUUCAAGAUGGUGAUAGCAGAGUAUUUAACACUUCAAAUCAUGACCCUUACUGUCCAGGUCACAUGCCCACAAAGUCAGCCCUGUCGUCAGGCCUUGGUUUCCUUGUCUGUCAAGUGGGAGAAUGGUAGCCACUGGCCAAAAGGGUGAGGGUGAGAAUGAGGUGGGAGCUGGUGGUAAGAGGUCCAGUGAACAGCAUGAGGAUGAGGUAAGAGUCUCCAAGUUCAUGAUUUGUUAUCUGGGUCUCAGCACCGGGUGGCAGGCCAAACUCCUUGCCAGGAGUUUGAUUGCUUACAACAGCUCUUUUUCACAGAACCAAAAAACUAAAAAUCCAUGAAGCAAAGUAACUUGCUCAGGGUCACACAGAGACUCAGUGGGGGAAGCCAAGAUCAGAGUUCUGGCCUGGCUCUCUUCGAAGCUGGUGCUUUUUGUGACCCAGGCAGGAGAGAGAGAAGCGCAGGAGGGAGGUGGGAUGGGGACAGGCUGCUCAGGACAAAGAGGGCCACUGUGCAGACACAAAGACCUGACCACAGAGGCCCCUCUGGGGGCUGGGACAGACAAAUGGAUGGAGCCCUGUGACUCUAUCUGUGGUGACUGGGGUAGCUGCCAGGAGCUGCCUCCUAGACCCUACCUGGUUGUGAUGAGGGUUGGGGAGGGUGUUGGUGUGCAGGAACCAGGAAAUGGGUCAGGGAGGAGAAACAAACUCAGAGAUGGGCCCCUUCCCCACUCCCCAGGCCUCUGACCCCAUCUCCCCCUAGCUCCUCCUGGGCAGCCUGCCAGCUUAUGGAAUCUCCCACAAACCAUCCACCGCCCCACAUUCCUCCUUCUCAGUGAGGGUGAGGCUCAGGCAACUCACUGUCUGGCAGUCCCAGCCUCACAAUACUUCUGACCCUUCCCCAUCACCAGUGGCAGGAUGAAGCAUAUGCCCUCGGCGCAGUGUCCUUCAGGGCCCUGUGUGACCUGCCCUGCUGACCUUUCUUCACUCACCUGUCCCCACUCCUCCUCAGCCUUCUACGCUGCAGUCACAUGGAACGUCCCACCAUUCUCCAAACACUCUGUCCUUUCAUACACACACCCCCAUGUUGGCUCAUGCUUUUCCUUCUUCCUGGGGGGCUGUUUCCCCUGCUCCAGUAGACUGAAAUCCCAUUUCUCCUCCAUGAACCAGCUCAAAUGCCACCUCCAGUAGCCAGCUUUCCUCCAUGCCCACAGUUGGGUUUAGCUUCGCUCAUUAACCUGUUAAUCUACACAUGUUGGGUUCACCCACUCUAGCGGUGCUCCUCCCACGCUGGCUUGUGUUGUAGUUGUUCCAAUCCACAAAGCCUACCUGGAAGAGGGGACCUUUGAGCUGAGCCUUACAGGACAGGUGGACUUCACUAGUGAAUGUCAGUGGUAAGAAGUGACAGGAGCUCAAAGAAUCAGGGAUAUCAGCCCUAUCUCCAAAAUUUUAUCUGCAUCAGCCAGGUUGCUGAGUUCAAAUAGCAAGGAGUCUAUAGUUCAGAAUGGCAGGAGUUGAGUGUGCAGGGACACUGUCAAGGGAUAAAGUUAAGAGGUUCACCAGGGCCAAGCCACGAAGGGUUUUAUAAUGCCAUACUAAGGAAUUUUUUUGCUUGCUUGUUUAAAACACAUUUGAAUUUAUUUCUCAGCUCUAUAGUUUACUAAGUAAUUAAGUUCUGGCUUUUAUCUUUACUAUUUUCUCCCUCUUAAUUACCUUGGGUAGCUUUUCUGUUCUUUUUCUACAAGCUUAUUAAAGUGAAUACUUAGGCUGGGUGCGGUGGCUCAUGCCUGUAAUCCUAGCACUUUGGGAGGCCGAGGUGGGUGGAUCACUUGAGGCCAGGAGUUUGACUGGCCUGGCCAACAUGAUGAAACCCCGUCCCUACUAAAAAUACAAAAAUUAGCCGGUCAUGGUGGCACACGCUUGUAAUUCCAGCUACUCGGGAGGCUGAGGCGUGAAAAUCACUUGAACCCAGGAGUUGGAGGUUGCAGUGAGCCAAGAUCAUGCCGCUGUACUCCAGCCUGAGUGACAGAGCAAGACUCUGUCUCAAAAUAAAUAAAUAAAUAAAUAAAUAAAUGUGAAUACCUAUUUUGUUGUCAUUCUUUUUCAAUAAUGUAAGCAUUUUUAAGGCUAUCAUUUCCCUCUGAAUUCAGCU
rnacentral:lncRNA from 1 species